UGAGUUUAGGAAAACAAUGUACCGGUUCCUUCAAAGUGUGAAGAACUUAAACGAUUGUGUUCUUGCAUCAGAAGCAGUUUACAAGUUUUCCAUCCCAGUUUUUCCAGUCAGGGUAUCUUUGUCUCCAUCUGCACCAGCUCCGACACCCUCGGGGUUCGGUCCCCCAGUCCCCACUCCCACCCCCAACAUCAAAGGGCCCCCAAGAGACGGCGGGACUUUGGUCUUCACCCCGCGCGAGGCAAUGCCACGCUAAAAAGGGGGAGCCCAGGUGGAGAGGGGAUUCAUGGCCAAGCCCCUUUGCCUGUGACUACCCUGGAUAUAGACAGCUGACCUACGAUCCUGAUGAAAGGCAGACCUCAGACAGGGAGUUACCAGUUCCCAUCCUUGGUCCAUCCUGCCCUACCGGUUUAAUAACUUCAAACUGAAACUUGAGGAUGUGGAUGUGAUGCCUGGAGCCCCAGCAGCUAUUGUACACCCAAGAAAGGGCACACUCUCUCUCUCUUGGACCUCAGCUGCCAUGCUGUGACAAAGCCCAGCCAGCCACACUGAGAGGCCCAUGUGGAAGAGAACUGAGGCUCCCCGCCAGCAGCCAGCCUCAGCUGCCAGCCGUGUGAGUGAGGCCAUUUCAGACCUUCCAGCUAUGCCAGCAGCCCAGUGAAGCUGGAGACUCAUUCCACUGACUCAUAGAUUUUUGAGAAAUAAUAAAUUGUUUUA